UUAAAACCAAUUUGUAAGUCGCUCUGGAUAAGAGCGUCUGCUAAAUGACUUAAA
rfam:Salmo salar isolate Sally breed double haploid chromosome ssa11, whole genome shotgun sequence.